rnacentral:tRNA from 2 species
GACUUGAUAGCUUAGCUGGUAGAGCAUUACACUUUUAAUGUAAGGGUCCUGGGUUCAAAUCCCAGUCAAGUCA